rnacentral:rRNA from 1 species
GUGGGGAAUCUUAGACAAUGGGGGAAACCCUGAUCUAGCCAUGCCGCGUGAGCGAUGAAGGCCUUAGGGUUGUAAAGCUCUUUCAGAUGGGAAGAUAAUGACGGUACCAUCAGAAGAAGCCCCGGCUAACUCCGUGCCAGCAGCCGCGGUAAUACGGAGGGGGCUAGCGUUGUUCGGAAUUACUGGGCGUAAAGCGCACGUAGGCGGACCAGAAAGUCAGAGGUGAAAUCCCAGGGCUCAACCUUGGAACUGCCUUUGAAACUCCUGGUCUUGAGGUCGAGAGAGGUGAGUGGAAUUCCGAGUGUAGAGGUGAAAUUCGUAGAUAUUAGGAGGAACACCAGUGGCGAAGGCGGCUCACUGGCUCGAUACUGACGCUGAGGUGCGAAAGCGUGGGGAGCAAACAGGAUUAGAAACCCCGGUAGUCC